rnacentral:lncRNA from 1 species
CAUAGAGGGUGCACACUGGAAGCAGAUGAGACUCAGCAGGGCACCUGCCAAGGCCAGGCUCCCAGUCAGGUUGCUCUUGCUCGAGGGGAGCGCUGACCUGCCGACCACAGAUGGAGUGGGCUCAGCACAGUGGUGAGACCAGAAACGAGUUGAGAGCAGCUCUCUGCCCUUCAAAACAAAAGAGCCGGCAGAAGAGUGAAGAGGAGAGCAGAGUCUCAGAGACCAUAUGUGUCAUGCUGUGGAAGCCUGGGAGCUUAAUCAAAGCACCUACAGGUCCUGGGAUCCGACUGUCUUUUCCAGAUUUCAUCCCCUGGCUGGAUACCGAAGAAAGGGCUGCAGGGCUGCGGUUUAAAGCAUGAAUGGAAAUUUCGAGCCUUCUCUCCCACUACCACCCCCCAUGCAUUGCUCCAGCCCAGUCUGAACACCACGAGGUAUUUUAAAAUAAUUUCUACUUUGAUGAAUUGCUGGGGAGUCCACAAUUGCUCAUAAUCAAGGGGAGAAAAAUGCAAAUGAGAUCCGGCCGAGAACUAUCACCACCAAACGUUUAUUUCACUGCACAGUGCCAAAAAGAAUUAAAACAACAUUAAACUCACAGCAAUCAUGUUUAAGCCCUCGUUUCCAAGUGCCAAAUUGCACCACUCUGGAUCAUACAGAUGUUCGUUAAUUAUGCUAAUUUUUAUUAAACUAUUAAAAUGGAGAGAAUACUGGCUCAGCCAGGCAGACCCAAGCUCUGAAUGAACUCUUCUACUGUCUAGAGGUGCUAAUUUACUGCUUUUUUUAUUAAGUUGCUGAUUCUUGGGUUUUAGUUUUUAGGAUCGAACUGAACUGAAUUUCUGGGAUCAAUGUUUUCCCCAUAAAAUCUGAACUUCUCUUGGCCCAGCUGUUUGGAAAAAAAUUGGGAAGAGUGCUUUGAGGCUCCCAGGAGAUGUACAGACUUCUUCAACGCAGAAGUGUCUCUACCUUCAAACUGGGGACACAUACCUAUACAUAUCAUUGUAUAUAUCACUGGGGCAUCCAAACUACACAUGUUCUCCACUCCAUGACUCUGUAUACUAUGAAGGCUAAAGGUGAGACUUUAAUGGUCUUUUUGUUGUUGUUUGUUUUUGUUUGUUUGUUUGUUUUCGAGACAAGGUUUCUCUGUGUAGUCCUGGCUGUUCAGGAACUCUCUCUGUAGACCAGGCUGGUCUCGAACCCAGAAAUCUGCCUGCUUUUGCCUCCCCAGUGCUGGGUUUAAUGGUCUUAAUGGUACCGAAUUAUUACUUGAAUAAGUUCUAGAUUAAAAAAAAAACCCAAACCCAAACAAACAAACCAAGACCCCACAACAAAACUCCUCACAUGUUCUGCUUCACAUCACAUCUCAUCUGGAAGAAAUAAAUAUGGCAUGUUGCUUUUUUCCACUUUUGAUGACACAAGAAAUGGCUCGACCUCAACCAAGAUAUCAUUUGCAUAAUAAAACACAACAACAACAACAACAACAACAACCACCACCACCGCCGCCGCCGCCAGGGGAAGUGGAGUCUGGCAGAGGCUGGAGGACUGAGGAGGAUUGAACACUUCUUGGUGGGGCUUUGAGGACACACAGACUUGCAACUUGACUCAGAGAGCAAUGACGUCGCUUGUCUCUCAGGCAAGAGACAAAUAGGGAAUACCUACUUAAGAAGGCUGGGUCCUCCUCUUAGGAAGCCUUGAGAUGCAAUUAUUUACUGAUAAUGCUUUUAGCAAGGGGCCCUGUCUUCUGGGGCCUAAGUGUUGGGUUCACCUUAGUUUCCAGGUUCAUCUGGGAUGCAGGCUUAAAUUGCUAUAAAUUUUGGCUUAAUUUGAAUUUCUUAGCAGAGUACUAAACUCCUGGCAAAUUUCCACAGGAGCGCUUCCUGAAUGGACUUGAAGAUUCAGCUUUCCCAUUGUCUAAAUACCUCACAAUUAAAAGGCUCAGGCUCCGGCUUUCCAGUCUGACCCCCACUGUGUUCUGUACUGUUCACCAGCUGCUGGAUUCCCACCAGAAGUGGCUCUGCGGGAACAGUGAUGACUGUGCGUUUUCUGAGAUGCUAGUGAGCCUGCCUUGUGAAGGGGAGGGCUCCAGAGUCAACCGGCCCCAGCACGGGGAGAGGCGAGGCAGGGUAGGCUUACUCUGAGGAGAUGAGAUUUGACUCUGGGCGAUGAUGAGGUGUGUUCUAUCAGAGUUUUACUGUAUCAAGACCAUUGUUGGCAUCUGCACAAUCCAGACUUUGGAAAUCCUCCGUACCUUUGAGACAAUGCUUUAUCCUUCUCCAGAUUCUACAGAAAGUAAGCCAGGGCUAGAGAGUUAUGAGAACGCACCCCCAAACUCACAGCUAGCCAAUGAGAAACAGAGGGAGUGGUCUCUAGCCUUUAACCUUCAUGGCUCAAGAACAAGUGACGUCACGUCACGUGGUACCGCUGAAAGAGGAUUUCAUCUUGUUCCCAGAACAAGGCAGAGUCACCGGGCUUUUUACACCAUCUCCUUCAGACAGUGAACCUUGAAUAGGGAUAACUUUGGGGGCUGUUUCGUUCUUUCGCAUGUCAAGAGUUUUUUGUUUUUGUUGUUGUUUUUCUGAGCAGCAGGAGGUGGGUAGUUAGCCGGUGAUGUAUCUUACCUGGUAGGACUUCAUAAAUGUCCUCCUCUUUCUCAGUAGGCUCAGGCAAGGCCAUGGCUCUGCACUGGGAGCCAGACCUUGGGGAGUCAAAGCCAUCGACGUCAUUGUACAUUUCUUCCUCUUCUUUCUCUUCUUCCUCCUCUUCCUCCUCCUCCUCUUCGAAGGGAAUGGUUAAGGAGCUAAGAUCUGCAGCGGGAGCAAAGAUAAGAAUGAAUAAAGA